UACUAUAUAUAUUUUUUCUUUCUGUGAGAUCAUUGUAGUCCUCAGUUUUGGCAAAGGCACUUUUACUUAAAUCAAUCUUGAUGAGUUAAACUAGGGAAGAAACCUAAUCAUGGUUUCUUCCAGGCCAUAUAAAUCAUAAGGAGAAUGAUUUGUCACUUCUUUUAACAAUGACUAGAAGCAAAGGACAUUUGUAUAGGAUAUGUAUUUCCAGAUGGAGGGAAAAUAUAUGUGAUUGGGAUUUGUAAGAGGCUGCUUUUUUCUGAUUUAACAGACCUGUGAAUAAGAAUCAUCCCAUUCAUAUGGCAGGAUUGUGUUCACCAGACUGAUCAUGAAGGAAGCGCUUACCUCAGGAUCUAUGCUGAGCACCAGAGACACAAUAUUGCAAAGGACAGACAUGCUCCCUGUCCUGAGAGUCUGAGAAGAUUAAUAAGGGAAGAGUGUGGGUCUUAAUCAUCAUAGUACUCUCCCACUUAGUGCUGUCCCAGGCUCAUAAACAUAACCUAUUCUAGGAACAAGUGUCCUUUUUGAAGUUUGUGCUGUGGACAUUUAAUUAAAAGGGAAGAUAUGGAACAAAAUGGUAUUCUGUGACCUGGAGUCUAUCAAAGAAGGCUACCUUCAAGAGUUCAAAAUUUGGCAGCAUAUUUUUGCUUUAGACUUUACCAUGACAUGUAAGAAUUUAUCUACAGGGCAGAUAUUUAAAAAUUAACUUAUAAAAUAAUUUGUUGGACUUCUAUCGAACUGAAAUCAAAAUGUAACAAGAUAGGUCAAGAUUGUAUACAUCUAAUAUAGCAGGAUAGAUGUUAAAUCAUUGACAAACUAUUCAAUUUAAUUGUUCACUGGCCAAUAUGAAGUUAGGUAAAAAGAACAGGUUUCUUGUUGGGUCGAACUGUGCUGAAUAUUUGAAUAUUUUUACUGAAUAUUUAAAGGUGAUAGAGAUGGAAGAGAUGGAAGAAUUCAACUCUUGAUUUGUCUUUGAUGUUGCUUGAGAGUAAAGGGGACAAAUGCAUUUGACACAGGUAGAAACAGGAGAUGUAUGUA